rnacentral:lncRNA from 1 species
AUAUUUGUAGAUAUUUAGUUUAUUUCGUAAUACAUAUACAUGGUCCGGAUAAAAGCUAGUGGGUUCACGUCAACCCAUAGAACACAUGCUAGAUUCACCUCAUAGCCAUAUUUUGUGAAAACCCUUUUAUGAAUCUCGAGCUGGAUUGUCCUGUAUUUGAGAGUAGCUAAUGGCAUAAGUUCGAUCCAAUCUAAGAUCAAAGUGAAUAACACCUGAUAAGAUUGAAGAGUAAUAUUCUGGUCAGAUGUGAUCUGUGCUUAAUAUGUAGGAUCAGAGUACACAAAUGAAAAGUACCUCCCGUUGGAUGUAUAUUAGGAAAGAUGCCUGGGUAUUUGGUAUAGUUGUAAGAGCGCAAACAUUUUGUGUGCUUAGGUGCAUGUUACGAAAUUUGAACUUGCUGCAGAUAAAAGCUUGGUAUUUUAAUGGAGAAGGGUAGAGGGUCAAGCUCAGUAUUCACCAAGUAUUUGACCUGUGCGCUAAUGACCCUUGAGAAUUUAUCGGGUAUCCUAGAAGAUAUUUGGAAAAAAGCAACCUUGGUAUAAUUUGCAUGACCUGAGAGAAUAAUGUUUGGUUUGAUACUUUGCUCAUAGAUAUUGUUUUCAUGGUGAUGUGAACUAUGUAGUUUAAGAUACAUCAUCCAUAGGACGAGAAUCUAGACAUCAGGCUUGGGUUUUGAAGAGGCGCCAGUAAAUUGUAGACUUGAACAUUACAUGCUGAUAGAUUUAUGCCUUAGUUGCCUCUCGUUCAUAUCUUGAUUAUACUUUCAUCAUAGUUUGACCUUGUUAUGAUUUAUGCGAAUGUCCUAAAAUCAAGGGUUGUCUUAUAUUUCUUACUGCAAAGAAAAGUUAUUUUCUUUCUUUUCUCUUUCUUUCAUUUAGUUUUUGUAAUUUCAUUGGUACAAUAGUGUAUGGUGUUCAACAUAUUCUUACUGUUCCUAUAUCUUGGCGUAUGUGGAACUAGGCACCUCUGGUAAAUACUUAUGGUGGCUAAAUCUGAAACGCUUAGAAUUGUCUUUAACGGGUAUAAAAGAACCUCUAGAAAGUACACUUUUGCUUUAUUGGCACAGCAUGUUAAGUUCUUUUUAGAUAAUGGUAGUGAAACUCGGACUCAGGGCUCUGCUCUAAUACAACAAUAACUACAUAUCAUUUCCAAGCAAGUUGGUUUCAGCUGUAUGAAUCCUCAUUGCUCAUGUCGCUCAAUUUAAGCUCAUCUCAAUUCAACUAUCAAUGUAGUUCGUAUUGCAAGGGCUCAUCAUAGAUUGACUAGCUUUAUGCUAACUAUUAACCUACCGUAAUCAUCCUCCUUUAUCCAUGCUUGGGAUUGAUAACGUGACCAAGCUCACAUAGACAAAGUUAGAACCUCUAUUCUAAUACUAUAUUGAACAGUGUGAACCGCUUAUUUAAAUUUAAGAUGGACACUUUUUUAUUAACAUUACGCCCACAACAAUCACAUUGGAGUUUGUAUAACAAAGAAUCUAAAGUCACUUGCUCUUUUUGCAUUUGGUACUUUAAUGUUCUAAAGAAAAGGUCCUUUAUAGGUAUGUUGUACCAUCUAGGGUAUUUGUACAUUCGGUCAAUUCUAAAGAUCUGUUCUUAGGAAAAGGUCCUUUAUAGGUACUUUGUACCAUCCAAGGUAUUUGUACUUCCGUUCAAUUCUAAAGAUCUUUUCCUUUAAAGUAUGCAUUACACACAACAACAACAACAACAACUACGCUUCUAAAGAUCUUUUCCUUUAAAGUAUGCAUUACACACAACAACAACAACAAUAACGACUACGCCUCAGUGUCAAACAAAGUUGGGGAUCCUCACUUUUUUCUUUAUGCUUAACUCAUACCAAUACGUUGGUGUUUUGGUCAUGUUGGAAAGGAAAAGCUCUUUGAAAUUUCGGGGUGGCUUUAGUUUGGAACAUUGAGGCUUGAGAUGUGAACCUCAUAGGUGGCAUUAGGUCCCAUUCCCACAUUGCUUGAGGGUAUAGGCUGUAAUCUCUUUAUAUAGUUUUGGACAAUCUUUAUGUCAUGAGCUAGUUUUUGAGGUUGAGUUAGGCAGUAUGUUUAUUUUUCUUAAUGAGUUGAAACAAACCAUGAAACCACAACUUAAGAACAUUUUGAGGCUCAACUUAAUGUUCAAAACUCUUUUUGGAUCCGGAGGUUACAUAUCCGUAUCCCUUGCACAUCCCUAUCCCCUGCAUCAUUUGGAAGUUAUUUUGCUGGACUUAAGAUUCAAAAAUAUUCUGCUUCUUGUGCUUAUUCUUGUGGUUGUUGUUUUAUCUUCUUCCUGUUCCUGAAACAGGCAUUCAUACGUUUUUUAUCAGCAGAAUGUAGAAUAUACUUCUCUUGAAUCCUUUCUGGUUCUCAUUCACCAAAUUUUUUUAAGGCAGACAAAUUUGCCAGAGUACCAAGGGCACGAAAAGAUUGUGAUUCGACGUUAUAAUGAUUUUGUAUGGUUACGUGAUCGUCUUUUUGAGAACUACAAGGGCAUUUUUAUUCCUCCACUUCCAGAGAAGAGCACAGUAGGUACUGGUUACACUUCUUUCUCAUGUACAGGCUUUCUCUUUGAUUUUUUUCUAACUGAUACUAAAACCAAUAGGUAUUUAAUAAAUCCAAUCUGGAAUUAUAUUGAUUUAUCACUGCUUAUUGGAAAUAAGAGGGACAAGAAUUAGGAGUCAUGUAGGUGGAAGUGGUUAUAGAUUGACAUAUUUAACUGUUUCAAUUAUGUUUGAGGAUGUCUGUAUUUGGGCAUUGAUCCCAUUUUCUUUAGAUAAGUAUUAGUUAUAAAGAUCGAGUAUUGGAAUCUAUCAAGGGAUGCUACCAGCUUUUGCACCAAUAAAAUGAUCUUAUUUUCAGAAGAAGCUGUAUAUAUUUGUCAAACCAGAGCCUGGGAGCUUAAGAAAGCAUUUUGAGAUUAUUAUUCUCUACGUUCUUGCAGAAAAAUUCAGAUUUAGUGCAGAAUUUAUUGAAAUGAGGCGCCAAGCUCUGGAUGUGCAAAGCAUUUUGAGAUUAUUAUUCUCUACCUUCUUGCAGAAAAGUUCAGAUUUAGUGCAGAAUUUAUUGAAAUGAGGCGCCAAGCUCUGGAUGUGUUCAUAAACAGAAUAGCUUCACAUCAUGAACUUCGGCAAAGUGACGACUUGAGAACCUUCUUGCAGGCUGAUGAGCAGGUAAUAAUUUUAAUUUGCCUUUUUUUUGGACUAUUUAGUGGAGUUCAUGUGUUAGCUUAGCUUUCUUGUGGAGACAUAAGGCUUAUUCGCCCUGUGACUUUGAAUUGUGAUGAUGUUUCUGAUUCUGAUUGUUACUAAGCUAUAUCAUGAAUGUCUCUCAUCUUGAUCUUGUACUGAUUUGUGCUAUUUAACUUGGUACAAGCACGAUCGAUAGGGAAUGGCUCGUAUAAUUAACCCCAAACUCUUUCUUACUAUUAACUAGGUUAGCACUAUCUAAAUAAUUUAGGGGUUGUUCAGUCUAGAGACAAGUUAUGCAGGGAUU